rnacentral:sRNA from 1 species
CGCUCUGACCAGCCCGCAGAGCCAGCCCCCGACCCCGGGCCACCCGGGCCCCCGGGUUCCGCUGGCAGUCUCGCCACCACCGCGUGGGUCUGACAAGAUGUACCAGGUCCCACUGCCACUGGAUCGGGAUGGGACCCUGGUACGGCUCCGCUUCACCAUGGUGGCCCUGGUCACGGUCUGCUGUCCACUUGUCGCCUUCCUCUUCUGCAUCCUCUGGUCCCUGCUCUUCCACUUCAAGGAGACAACGGCCACACACUGUGGGGCAGGUUCCAGUCUGCGGGGGAGAUGGAGAAGGUCCCACCAUGCUCCUGCACAAAUCUCAGGAUAGCUGGGGAAUGAGAAUCCAGCACUUUGGGCCUAGGACCUAGAAGGAGAGGUCUUUUGGGAGAGGUGCCCAAUUACCUGCCCUCGGUGAGCUCAGCCAUCGGUGGGGAGGUGCCCCAGCGCUACGUGUGGCGUUUCUGCAUCGGCCUGCACUCGGCGCCUCGCUUCUUGGUGGCCUUCGCCUACUGGAACCACUACCUCAGCUGUACCUCCCCGUGUUCCUGCUAUCGCCCGCUCUGCCGCCUCAACUUCGGCCUCAAUGUCGUGGAGAACCUCGCGUUGCUAGUGCUCACUUAUGUCUCCUCCUCUGAGGACUUCAGUGGGUGCCCGGAUGAGGGAGGAGUGGGGAAGGGUUCCCUGAGGGGACGGGCCUGCCCCUACCACUUUCGGACCUUCCUACUUAGUGGUGUGGGCACUCCCUGCAAUGUGGCUCCCAAUCCUCUUUCCCUCCAGCCGUCCAUGAAAAUGCUUUCAUUGUGUUCAUUGCCU